UCUGCUCAAUGAUUUUUUAAAUUGCUGUGGUAUUUUGACUAUACAAAGGUAUUGAAAUAAGAUUUUAAUUGAAUGCUAAGAGAAUGGAAUUUCAGAAAAAAACUUUUUUCAAGUUAAAAAUUGAAAUUUUUUUAAUUUGUGCAGAAACAAUUAUUAAUAUUAAGGACAAGAAGACCCUAUGAAUUUAUAAAUUUUAUUUAAUAUGUAACUACUAUUGAAAAAAUUUUAGCUGGGGCGGCGGAAAAAUAUUUAAAACUUUUUUAAAAUAAAAUGACCCAUUAUUAAUGAUUAUAUGUUAAAUACUCUAGGGAUAACAGC
rnacentral:rRNA from 1 species